rnacentral:rRNA from 1 species
GUGGUCCUACGGGGCGCAGCAGUAGGGAAUCUUCCACAAUGGACGAAAGUCUGAUGGAGCAACGCCGCGUGAGUGAAGAAGGGUUUCGGCUCGUAAAGCUCUGUUGGUAGUGAAGAAAGAUAGAGGUAGUAACUGGCCUUUAUUUGACGGGAAUUACUUAGAAAGUCACGGCUAACUACGUGCCAGCAGCCGCGGUAAUACGUAGGUGGCAAGCGUUGUCCGGAUUUAUUGGG